rnacentral:lncRNA from 1 species
UCAAAAGGGUGAUUUAUAUUCAUCACUAAUGUUUUAUAACAUCAUAUACUAUAUCUAUAUAACUAAUCUAAGCAAUGAAAGGCAUCCUAUGUUGAGUUAGAUACAAAUUUAUCUUGAGAAGAACUUUUCCAGGCUCUUUCCUUUCAUGGUGGCUUUCAUAGUGGGAAUCUUUUGUUAUCUCUAUUAAGCCUAAUAUACAUUGUUCAUGCUUUUCUUAUCAGCUUAAUUCAUUAGAAUGAAAUGGUUAUUUAACAUGGUAUCAGAUCUCAAGUUUGCUACAAGUUAUGAGUUUGAAGCCCUUUUAUAUCUGUUAUUUCUUCAAUUAACUUUAAAAUCUUGACUUAUUCCAAUAAUUGUGAGCCCUCCAUGUGCAUGGUCUAAGCCACACAUGAAAGAUGUUAAGCAUGACAUAUAUUGACUCUUUCUUAUCAACUUGAUCAUGGGCUAUUGAGUGAAGACCUCUCUCCAUGGUUUCUAUGAGAAUUUGACAUCAAAGUUGACAUUUACCACAAAAUAAAAAUUGUAGCCAAGAUCUCAAAAGGCAUGCUUUCACUUGGUGAAGCAACUCAAAAUUAGGUAGUCUCAUGAAGGCAAGCUUGGGGUUGAAUCUUGGGAGAAGAUAAGGAAUGAACUUAAAAGAAAUUCUUUCUAAAGAAUUUGUUACAAUAUUCAUUCCUAAUUAACCUCAAUGGCUUUGUAGAAGAACAUCGGUAU